GCUGUGUAAGGGAACUUCAUAUGUUCCGUGU
rnacentral:piRNA from 1 species